rnacentral:rRNA from 1 species
UGGGGAAUCUUGCGCAAAUGCGGGAAACCGUGACGCAGCGACGCCGCGUGGGGGAAGAAGGCCUUCGGGUUGUAAACCUCUUUCAGGAGGGACGAAGCUACUCGGGUUAAUAGCCCAGAGGGUGACGGUACCUUCAGGAGAAGCCCCGGCUAACUACGUGCCAGCAGCCGCGGUAAUACGUAGGGGGCAAGCGUUGUCCGGAUUUAUUGGGCGUAAAGAGCGUGUAGGCGGCUUAGCAAGUCUGCUGUGAAAACUCGAGGCUCAACCUCGAGAUGUCGGCGGAAACUGCUUGGCUAGAGUCCGGAAGAGGAGAGUGGAAUUCCUGGUGUAGCGGUGAAAUGCGCAGAUAUCAGGAAGAACACCUAUGGCGAAGGCAGCUCUCUGGGACGGUACUGACGCUGAGACGCGAAAGCGUGGGGAGCGAACAGGAUUAGGAUACCCUGGUAGUCCACGCCGUAAACGAUGGGUGCUAGGUGUGGGCGGUGUCGACUCCGUCCGUGCCGAAGCUAACG